rnacentral:rRNA from 1 species
AGGGUUUGAUCAUGGCUCAGGAUGAACGCUAGCGGCAGGCUUAACACAUGCAAGUCGAGGGGUAACAGGGAUUGCUUGCAAUCCGCUGACGACCGGCGCACGGGUGCGUAACGCGUAUGCAACCUACCUUCUACAGGGGGAUAGUCAAUAGAAAUGUUGAAUAAUACCCCAUACGAUCUUUGAAUAGCAUUAUUUAAAGAAGAAAGUUCCGGCGGUAGAAGAUGGGCAUGCGUCCUAUUAGUUAGUUGGAGAGGUAACGGCUCCCCAAGACAUCGAUAGGUAGGGGUCCUGAGAGGGAGACCCCCCACACUGGUACUGAGACACGGACCAGACUCCUACGGGAGGCAGCAGUGAGGAAUAUUGGACAAUGGAGGCAACUCUGAUCCAGCCAUGCCGCGUGCAGGAAGACUGCCCUAUGGGUUGUAAACUGCUUUUAUACAGGAAGAAAUGUAUCUACGUGUAGGUAUUUGACGGUACUGUACGAACAAGGAUCGGCUAACUCCGUGCCAGCAGCCGCGGUAAUACGGAGGAUCCAAGCGUUAUCCGGAAUCAUUGGGUUUAAAGGGUCCGUAGGCGGUCUUUUAAGUCAGAGGUGAAAUCCUACAGCUCAACUGUAGAAUUGCCUUUGAUACUGAAAGACUUGAGUUAUUGUGAAGUAGUUAGAAUGUGUGGUGUAGCGGUGAAAUGCAUAGAGAUCACACAGAAUACCGAUUGCGAAGGCAGAUUACUAACAAUAUACUGACGCUGAGGGACGAAAGCGUGGGUAGCGAACAGGAUUAGAUACCCUGGUAGUCCACGCCGUAAACGAUGGAUACUAGCUGUUCGACCAACAUUGGUUGGUUGAGUGGCUAAGCGAAAGUGAUAAGUAUCCCACCU